rnacentral:lncRNA from 1 species
CCUUCCUCUCCACUGUCGCCAUGUGUUGGGCUACUGCUCCAAAGACUACUAGAGAGGUCAAAAACACUUCCUUUUCUACUUGGAUUAUUAUUAGUACUUCUGAUAGAACAUUAUCUGAAGCCAUAUCUAUAUGAACAGUGUUGACUCCCAUGUCCGGCGGCCUAAUUACUUUAACCUGAGCUCGGGACACUGACAAGUAUCUGUCAAAUGCAGUGAGCUCACAUGACUGUUGUCAGAUUAAACUAGUGAGAGUAUAAAAUGUCCCAGGAAAGUUCAAAGAUGUUUCUCACUCACAGUGGAUGUUGCCAUCCAAAGGCAGUGGGAAAGAAGCCAAAGCUGUCACCGUACUCUCGGUUCUCUCAUC